GCAGCCUCCUCCUUGGAGGUUUCUGGCCCGGCUGGAAUUACGUUCAAGCAGCCGGGCCCAAAAUGUCCAGGUAGGAAUCUGGGAAGC